rnacentral:rRNA from 1 species
GCUAAUACCGCAUAACGCCUACGGGCCAAAGAGGGGGACCUUCGGGCCUCUCGCGUCAAGAUAUGCCUAGGUGGGAUUAGCUAGUUGGUGAGGUAAUGGCUCACCAAGGCGACGAUCCCUAGCUGGUCUGAGAGGAUGAUCAGCCACACUGGAACUGAGACACGGUCCAGACUCCUACGGGAGGCAGCAGUGGGGAAUAUUGCACAAUGGGCGAAAGCCUGAUGCAGCCAUGCCGCGUGUAUGAAGAAGGCCUUCGGGUUGUAAAGUACUUUCAGUUGUGAGGAAGGGGGUGUCGUUAAUAGCGGCAUCUCUUGACGUUAGCAACAGAAGAAACACCGGCUAACUCCGUGCCAGCAGCCGCGGUAAUACGGAGGGUGCGAGCGUUAAUCGGAAUUACUGGGCGUAAAGCGCAUGCAGGUGGUUCAUUAAGUCAGAUGUGAAAGCCCGGGGCUCAACCUCGGAACUGCAUUUGAAACUGGUGAACUAGAGUACUGUAGAGGGGGGUAGAAUUUCAGGUGUAGCGGUGUAAUGCGUAGAGAUCUGAAGGAAUACCAGUGGCGAAGGCGGCCCCCUGGA